GGAGGGCAUCGUCAUGGUUAAUUUUAUGUAUCUACUGGCUGGGUCAUGGAACCCAAGUUUCCUAGAUAUUUGGUCAAAUAUCAUCCUCGAUGUUUCUGUGAAAGUAUCUUUCAGAUGAGGUUAACGUUUAGAUCAGUAGACCUUGAGAAAAGCACGCUGCCCUCCAUAAUGGGGGUAGGCUUCAUCCAGUCAGCUGAAGGCCUUAAGAGAAAAGAGACUGAUCUCUCUCCAAAAGAGGCAAAGACCGCCUCUGGACUCCAGCUGCAGCAUCAACUGUUCCCUGGGUUUCCAAGCCUAUGGACCUAUCCUGCGGGGUUUGGACUUGCCAUUCCUUAAACCCUUGUGAGCCAAUAUAUAUUCCUGGGACUCCAGCAUCUGACAAGUGCCCCUGCCUGGUGGAGUGGGCUGAGGGAUGGGGGCAACAGUAGUGAGUGGCUAAAACCCAACUGAUAGCCUAGAGAACACCGAAGAGAAUGCACGCUUUGUCAGGGAGGCCAAUUUUUUGGUAGUAGGGCCAGAGCAGGGCAAACAGCGAGGCAUUCUCAGAAAGCCCCAUGGUUAAUGGAGGCAGGGCAGAGAAGCUUGUCCAAGGGGUACUCUUACCAAUGAGUGGGCAGGACUUUAAGGGAGGCUGGAGAUAGCAUCAACAGAAGUGAUAGUCAAGGAAAUAUAGCCACUGCUGUUUUGUGAUGAUAUUUUAACUCCCAGGCUGAUGUGGGGGAACUGGGGAUGUAGAUAUAUGAGAAAUACCUUCACUGAGGUGGUCUCAAAAUGGCGCACAGGUAAGGACAGACUAUCUGCUUGCAACUUGUUUCAGAGGUAACAGCACCAGUGCCUGGAAACGGAUAAUUCUACCCACAGAUAGCCAUUCUUUCCCCAUUUCCUGCCUCUUGGAACAUUAAAGAGGUGCUUAUGUUGCCAGGUGAAUAUACCUGACUUUUAGUGGACAAAAACAAGAUAUAUCACCUCACUGAAUAUUUGGAAGUUGGGUUCUUUUCCAAGAAAAACCAGAGGGAAGAGGAAAAGUGGUUUCUUCUCUAUUUCCUGCUAAGAAAAAACACAGGAAUAGUUUUACUGUAAAUGGAAGAAAGAAAAUUUCCUGGUUGGCAAAGAAGACAAAAGGAGGAUGGCGUGGUUUUACCACACAGAGCCUGUACUUCAGUGUCGCAGAAUCAGUUUUACCCUGGACUCCAAAUCUUGUCUUGUGAUCUAGGCAAGUUGGUCAACCUCCCUGGGCCUCAGUUUCUUCAUCUUUGAUGUGGGGCAAACACUGCCUGCCUCAUCAGAAGGUCAAGAGGAUAG
rnacentral:lncRNA from 1 species